rnacentral:rRNA from 1 species
CGCAGCCGCGGUAAUUCCAGCUCCAAUAGCGUAUAUUAAAGUUGUUGCAGUUAAAAAGCUCGUAGUUGAAUUUCGGGGUCAGUAAGUUGGUCGUGCCAAUGGUAUGUACUGGCUUUACUGAUUCCUCCUUCUUGAAGAACUGUAAUGCCAUUAAUUUGGUGUUGCAGGGAAUCAGGACUGUUACUUUGAAAAAUUAGAGUGUUUAAAGCAGGCUUACGCUUGAAUACAUUAGCAUGGAAUAAUGAAAUAGGACGUUGAUCUUAUUUUGUUGGUUUCUAGGAUUGACGUAAUGAUUAAUAGGGAUAGUUGGGGGCAUUAGUAUUCAAUUGUCAGAGGUGAAAUUCUUGGAUUUAUUGAAGACUAACUACUGCGAAAGCAUUUGCCAAGGAUGUUUUCAUUAAUCAAGAACGAAAGUUAGGGGAUCGAAGACGAUCAGAUACCGUCGUAGUCUUAACCAUAAACUAUGCCGACUAGGGAUCGGAUGAUGUUAAUUUUUAAUGACUCAUUCGGCGCCUUACGG